GGCUGGUCCAAUGGUAGUGGGUUAUCAGAACUUACUAACAUUAAUGUCACUAAAGUUGGUAUUCAGCCCCCUGCUGCUGACUUUGACUGGCUUUUG
rnacentral:Y_RNA from 1 species